GACGAACCGUGCAAACGUUAUUCGGAAUCACUGGGCUUAAAGCGCGUGUAGGCGGGACGGCACGUCGGUCGCUGAAAGCCCCCGGCUCAACCGGGGAAUGGGCGCCGAUACGACCGUCCUCGAGGAACGUAGGGGGACCUGGAACUUCCGGUGGAGCGGUGAAAUGCGUUGAGAUCGGAAGGAACGCCCGUGGCGAAAGCGAGGUCCUGGACGUUUUCUGACGCUGAGACGCGAAAGCCAGGGGAGCGAACGGG
rnacentral:rRNA from 1 species